UACGAAGGGGGCUAGCGUUGUUCGGAUUUACUGGGCGUAAAGCGCACGUAGGCGGAUCGAUCAGUCAGGGGUGAAAUCCCGAGGCUCAACCUCGGAACUGCCUUUGAUACUGGGGAUCUCGAGUCCGGGAGAGGUGAGUGGAACUGCGAGUGUAGAGGUGAAAUUCGUAGAUAUUCGCAAGAACACCAGUGGCGAAGGCGGCUCACUGGCCCGAUACUGACGCUGAGGCACGAAAGCGUGGGGAGCGAACAGG
rnacentral:rRNA from 1 species